rnacentral:lncRNA from 1 species
UUCCUAUUUGGGGAUGGAAACUAAUUCAGUUACAUCUGAAAAGGACACCAGUCACUCAAUAUAAACAUUUGAAUACAGAUAAUAUUUCUGCACAUGGAACGUCAUUGAGAGAAGUUAUACAAACAUGUAAAGAAAGUACAAAUUAUGGAAGUUCUGCAAAUUCUACAGGGGAAGAAGAAAAAAUUAGAAAAUAUUCCCCAGAAGAGAUUCAGAGAAAGAGACAAGAAGCUCUGAUUCGAAGAAUGUCUAAAGCACGGACAUCAUUUGUGAAUGCAAGUGGAGGAUAUAAUCUCCAAGGAAAGCAUGUCAUUGGCAAAGGGAGAAGUUUUGAACACUCAUUUUCUCCUGAGGUUGAGAACCUCAGGUACAAUGUAGCACCAAUAGUUGGGAUGAGAACUGAUCUGCAGACCUGAAGCGAGAUACAGACUGCUAAGAAGCUCCUGAAAGAACCAUAGUGCCUACUAUUUCUGGCUCCUGGGGCCUCAGCUGACUGCAAAAAUAUCCUUCAAUAAAUCUCACUAAGAUGCACA